rnacentral:piRNA from 1 species
UGUUAAUGUAGCAAUGGAUUGUUUUUUAA